CACGUAGUUCUCCCGGGGCAGGUGCAUCGUCGCGCCCUCAAAGUGCAGCACCAGCUUCGGCACGUGCGGCGCCUUCCCCAGCGGCGGCGCCGAGAAGCAGAGUAAGGGACCCGUCUCGUUGCUGGGCACCACGGGAAGCUUCACGUGUGCGGCGAACUCGUCAUGGACGAGCCUGUAAACCCGCGGCGGCAGCGAAGUGAAGGCCGUGCCGGAGUCGAUGAUCGUUCCGCCGGUCCCGUUCUUUAGAGCGAACGCGGACUCCGGCACCGGCAGCCUCGUCGACCCGACGGUGAUGCCCUUCAGCGAGAGGUAGUAGAAAGUUGGAUGGGCAGGGUUCUUGAUUAGAGGGGUGGUCUGGACGGUGCCGCGGCCGUUUUUGUAGAGGUCUGCCGGCAGGUCGAACAGGACAGUGCUCGGUUUCCGUCCGGAUACUGCGGUGAAGCAGUGGGAGAAGUUGCCCACUUUGAGCUGCGACGGGAGGGACAGUGGCCCGCGGCCGAAGCCAGCGAUGCCGGUCUCGUUGGAGCGGAAAAUGCCGGUGUUAUUGAGGCCGCAACCGAAGACCACGCCGGGCACGGAGGCGCCGGCGACAAACGAGACCGUCUCCACAUCGAGGAAGCCGAUCGUCGCCGACUUGUCGCCGUACGAGUAGGAGUAGGCGCAGGUCUGGACCGUCUGGUUGACGCACAUAGUCACACUCGGGUCCAGCUUGCACUGCGUGGAGUCGCAGGAAGGCAAGGCGAACGUGGAGGAUCUCGACGCGUCGUAGUAAGGGAGAGACUGGUUGAAGCAUACAGCGCACGGCUGGCACUGCGUCCAGACGAGGACGCUGCCGGUGUCGAGCGUCAGCUGCACGGGCUGCGGCGGCGUGCCGAUGGCCAGGUGCAACAGGUACUCCGUCAUAGGAACGCCGUCGUCGUACGCCCCUGGAGAUACCGGCGCGGUCGCUGAGCUUGAGAGGAGCCGCGGGGCGCGGGCCUUGCUGCGCAGCGCCAUGCGGCGCAUCAGCUCGCGCCCAGACAGGCCGCGGC
rnacentral:sRNA from 1 species